GAGAGUUAAACAGUACGUGAAAUUGUUGAAAGGGAAACGAUUGAAGCCAGUCGUACCUGCGGACAAUCAGCUUUUUGAGUGUGAUUAUGUGGAUUGUGAGGAGUUUAAUCACCCUCAUGUUUUGCAUAUUCGUACUCUUGGGUGUACUUGCCCGUGUGGUUGGUUAACAUCAAUUUUGGUGGUCAUAAAAUGACUGGGGGAAUGUAGCUUCGAUCUUGUAUUGAAGUGUUAUAGCCUUCGGUAGAUGUGAUGAUCGAGAUUGAGGAUUGCAACGGAUACCCUUUGGGGCUACCUGUCUGAUCUCUGAUCGUUGCUUUGGUGCCGAAAGCUUGCUUACGGUUAUCAAAGUCGAUGGUCAAUAGGUUAGAACGGGUUAAAUUCGUUAAGGAUGUUGACGUAAUGGCUUUAAACGA
rnacentral:rRNA from 1 species